UACGUAGGGCGCAAGCGUUAUCCAGAAUUAUUGGGCGUAAAGAGCUCGUAGGCGGUCUGUCGCGUCGGCUGUGAAAACCCGAGGCUCAACCUCGGGCCUGCAGUCGAUACGGGCAGACUAGAGUGCUGUAGGGGAGACUGGAAUUCCUGGUGUAGCGGUGAAAUGCGCAGAUAUCAGGAGGAACACCGGUGGCGAAGGCGGGUCUCUGGGCAGUAACUGACGCUGAGGAGCGAAAGCGUGGGGAGCGAACAGG
rnacentral:rRNA from 1 species